ACAAGAAUUGAACUCCUAGCCUUGGUACCUAAGUUUUUUGCCGCCGCGCUUUCUGUUGCCGGCAAUAAAUACGGUGCCCUGGCCGUGGCUUUACGUCACCAGGGUGCAGGGUAGAAAUGCCCGCAUCUUCCCGUAUUUGGAAAGGUGUUAACAAGGUGCAACA
rnacentral:ncRNA from 2 species